rnacentral:rRNA from 1 species
UGAGGAACAUUGGUCAAUGGGGGCAACCCUGAACCAGCCAAGUCGCGUGAAGGAUGAAGGUCUUAUGGAUUGUAAACUUCUUUUAUACAGGAAUAAAUUGGGGGACGUGUCCCCUUUUGCAUGUACUGUAUGAAUAAGGAUCGGCUAACUCCGUGCCAGCAGCCGCGGUAAUACGGAGGAUCCGAGCGUUAUCCGGAUUUAUUGGGUUUAAAGGGUGCGCAGGCGGGAUGUUAAGUCGGCGGUGAAAUGUUGCAGCUCAACUGUAAAAGUGCCUUCGAUACUGGCCUCCUUGAGUGUGGAGGAAGUAGGCGGAAUUUGUGGUGUAGCGGUGAAAUGCUUAGAUAUCACGAGGAACUCCGAUUGCGCAGGCAGCUUACUAAGCCACAACUGACGCUCAUGCACGAAGGCGUGGGGAUCAAACA